UGAUGCACAUCUUCACUAGUCCAUUAUCACAAAAUGGAUGGCAAGCUUCAAGAAUAUGAUUCACUUGAGAUGCUCAUCUUGAACUUGCCCAACUCAACCUUGUAUCUUCUCAUACUCACAUAAGAUAGAGCAUGGCUAAUAUUGAGUUCCACAUAAGAACUCCAUCUUACGUUUCUUCUUCUUGAUCAUAUCACAUAUAUAUAUUCAUGCCGAUGAUCUUGAUGCCAAUACACAAGGUAUACCUUUAUCUUCAUGGCAUCCAUACUUGAAUCCAACACAUGGAGAGCAAGUAGUACCUAUGGAGUAUUCCUUCAUAUAAACUCAAUGAAAACAUUAGUCCAUAGGGGUUGUCAUUAAUUACCAAAACCACACAUAGGGGCAAUGUACCCUUACAAUACUCUCGAGAGAAACUAUCUCUCACUCCUUGUAACCUUUGAAUAGUGCCCGUUCCUUGCUACUGCCAAAUUGCAUAUCCUUUACUUCUCUCUAAGGUGGUUUGCGAGUACAAUUCAUAAUGUACUCAUGGCUUUGUCCCUGGCUAUUUACUUGGCCAGACUUGGUGGAAUCCGACAGAUGAAGAAGGAGUCGACGACGUCUAUGCGAGCUAGGAACGUCUUCCCAGUCAGUUGCCUGUAGGGUUAUGGCAUGACUUGGGCCAUGCGAACGCUUUCGUCUGAAGUAUUUCCGCUCUGUGAUUGUUGAUCUCCUGCCAUUAUGGCUCUUAUGUAAGUAUUGGUCAUGUGACCUGUUGUAAUCUUUUUAUUCGGUACUGUAAUGGAUGAUGUAUUUGAUACCAGUUCGGUUAUGCUUUCACGACACACUGAUCAUGGGAUCAUGAAUGUGUAUGCAUAACGGGUGUUUCGGACAGCUAGUCCGGGGCCCCACAAUAAAUAUCGGUCCACAGAGGAUACUUCCCUGUCGAGCACAAUUCGAACACCACAUCUUUCUCAUGCUUCUACCAGGCACACUCCCACGACGACGGCUGUGCCCCAUCGCCCCUCCUCACCAUCACUGCCUCCUCACCGGCCACCGUAGUGACCGACCACGUUUUACCGGCUCCCUUGCUAUCUAGCAAGCUGGAUUAGCUUCCUCGAUGCCGAUGUUGACUGCGCCAUAUCUGCUCCGGAUCCGCUUCCCCAACUCUAUAGUCCACCUCAUCGGAGAUCGACAUGGGCAAAAAACGCGGCCCCAAAGUCGACCACCCCCAACCAAAGAGUAAAUCCACCCUGGCCUCAGACGAAUGUUGAUGAAUAAUUUACAUGUCCACUUUUGUUAUAUGCAUUUGAUUUCUGACACUAGUUUUCAUUGCUUUCUUGCAAUGCAUUCUUGCUGUUAUUAGAUCAGUGUAGAUAGUUGUUUGCCGCGUAGCUAUAUGUGAUCUUAACCUUACAUCUGCUGAUCGAGAGGAAGAUCGAGGUUAUGUCAGCUUUCGUUAUGCAUUUGUUUUCCGAGAAUCACUUCUUUGUGAUAUGUUUUGGGGGUUUGAAGUAUGCAUUUUACAAAGGUUAUGAUAGCAGUCAAGCUAGCAGAGCAAUUUGUUGAUAGUAUUAAACUGCCAGUAUUUUUUUUAUCUCGGAACUCUGCUGAUCAUAACCUUACAUCUGCUGAUGGAGAGGCAGAGCUUAUGUCCGCUUUCGUUACGCAUUUCUUUUCCAAAUAUCACUUAUGUGCGGUACUUUUUUGGGGUUUGAAGUAUACUACCUCCACCCCAAACCUGAAGGCUUAUUUAUAAAAGUCAAACCAAGUAAAGUUUGACCAAACUUUCAGAACAAUCUAUCAAGAAAUAUAAUAUUCUGUAGAUACCGUACGAAAAUAUAUUCGUUAUCUAUUUAAUGAUAUUAAAUUGUUAUUUUGCAUGUUAAUGAUUUUUGGUAAAAACUUCGGGAUGGUGGUAAUACGUUUUACAAAGGUUAUGAUAGCAGUCAAGCUAGCAGAGCAAUUUAUUGAUAGUAUUAAACUGCCUGUAUUUUUUUCUAUUUGCAACUCUGUGUGCGCCAUGUGGAAUUGCAUGCUCUAGCCGGUUCAUCCAAUGAGGUUUUAUCACUUAACACCAAAGUUCGAGAUUUUUUUAUCACAGAACCACAACCCUAGAAAUUUGUAUCACAAAACACCAACAUUUGGGGUAAUUGUUUCGCAGAAUACAUGAUCUCUGUUUGAUAGCCCAUUAGUGACUUCCGGCAACCGUCAAUUUAAGAGUGACAGUAGGAGAAACACAAUUAGACUUUAUUUUGUGGUAUUUGCUGUUAAACGCUAAAUACAAAGCUGUUUGUCAACACUAGUUGUUAAAUCUUAUGUCUAGACAGUUCAAAAAAAAUCUUUUGUCCAGGGUAGUUGUAUUGGUACACAUUAUCAAAACCUUAUGCUGGUACAUAAUAUAUUACCCAGAUCUCAUGUUCUUGUGUGGUUAUAAUUUCAAUGGAUAUUUUUCAUAUGGUAAUUCAUUUGUGUGUACCAUAUGUAACAAGUGUGACUCAUAUUCUCAUUUCCACAUAGUGUCUACAAAAUUUCACACCAAAAUUCAUUUGUUUGUAGCAAACAUGCUCACGUACUGUAAAUUGGUGUCACGCUGUAGGGUCAUGCUCUUGUCAAGCCAACUAAUGACAAAUAAUGUGUUAUGUGAAAUAAUUUCCCUAAAUGUUGGUGUUUUGUGAUAAAAAAAAUCCCCAACUUGUAGUGCUAAGUGAUAAAACCACUCAUUCAAUAGACCGAGCCUUAGGCAUGUAUCAUUAGAUAUUUUUUAGGAAGGCUGCAAAUAUUUAUUUUGAAUACUGUGUUGCUACUUGCUAGGAUUUGAACUCAUGACCUUGUCUGAUACCAUUUCGAAUUGCAUGCUCUAGCAAGUUCAUCCAAUAGACCGAUAUGUUGGAACUUGUAAGACCCUAGGCAAUUAUAUUAAGCAUACGCCAUUCCAUAUGGUUAACCAUUGGCAUGAAAUAACACUUAUAUGUGUUUGAGUCUAUAUGUGGAUUGCUUAGCCCUUUCUAUCAGUUCAGACUUUUGGUUGCGUUGGCUACUGCAUGAAGCAUGACAUUCAUACUUAUCCUAAAAAUUGUUGCUGCUUCCCUCUGUUGCCCAACAUAAAUUAUUUUUGAGCCAUAAUUUGUUUGCCCUUUUCAUCAGUUUGGACUUUCGGUUGCGUUGGCUAGUGCAUGAAGCUUGACAAUAUGAACAUCAAUUAUUUUUGAGCCAUAGUUUGUUUAUCAUUACACCUUUUGAGCAGUCUCACUGCUACUAUUAAUUUGUUCUUAUAUGCACAGUUCCAUGAUAAAUCUCAUCUGCAUUUCUCGCCAAUGCAUGUUAGGUCUUCCACUCGAGAUUGAGUACGAAGAGCAACGGAGGCAAACUAUCCUGCAUAAUAUCCGAGUUGCAGCCUCGUUGGGCCUAACACUACAUCAUUCUACAAGGUCUAGUGAAAAAAACGCCACCCACCUACCUAACAAAGGAUACAGAACAUUCCUCUGAUUCAGAAUUUUAUCCUGCUGAUUGUGAUGGCGAGCUGACUCAGGAAGAUGCCCUGGUCGACUAUCCUCUGCAACACAACAAGAUUCGGGCAAGAACUUUUCAAGAAUAAACAGGAGGAAGAACACUCAACGGGAACCUCAGGCUGAUACCGGAGGAUGGGUGACAGUGCGUAAUAAAAAAAGGGUUAAGCCUGAUGCUCGUGCUGCUCCUCCUAUUACAAGGUCUAACAAGACACUGACACGAGGUGGCGAACAGGCCAAGAAUGAUAACAGUAAAGGUAUCGUAAAAACCACAAACCAUCGAAUCAGACAGAAGUAGCCCCAGCAUGUACCAGCCCACAUAUUCCACAACCACCAGUUGCCAAUACUGUUUCUCAGCAACAAUUGCCAACAGAACCAGUUUCCACAGCAAAUUCUAGCCAACAAUUGGCACCAUCGGGAGUGGUGGUAGGUAAUAAUGGCCAAGGAAACAUGAUGCUAGUCCCAGAUGAUACAUCCUCAAAUGUCCAAAUAGUGCUGCCACAACACCAGCAAAGUGGUGAUGAUCUCCCUCCAACCCUUAGUCCUGCGAAAGACAACUCCUCUCCCGAUGAUGAGACCCACGCCAAAAAUGGUUCGCCACGAUCAAUAAAAACGAGGGGGCCAACGGUAGAAGAAAACUUGCAGCUAAGAUUUCCGGAAUGGGUUCAAUAUUUUGCAUCACAUCUAUUGUAGGUGGCAGAAGGCCACUUCAUCCGCAUGAAUCUUCAUAUCUUGUAUCACAGGUUGGCUAUUUUAUCAGGAAUGAACUUCUUACCUUCCCAUUGUGGAAGCGGCACGUUGAAACCCCUUCACAGUUCGAGAGUUUAGUGCAUAAUUUACAUGUAACUCAUGCUUCUCCUGUUAAGGUUUGAAUUUGAUGAGGAUAAUGAGGAUGUUAAGUUUGUCAUCGCUUCCAUAUUCAAAGAAUUGUUGCGCCAGGACCGCUAUAAGCUUAAGGCGACAUACUUCACUGGCCAGAUUACUGCCAAUGUUCGAACAACGUCUCCUGCACCCUUUAUGAAUGACGAGCAGUGGGGAGAUCUUGUCAAGCACUGGUCUGAUCCAAAGAAUGUGAUGUUGUCUAAAAGGAACCAUGCUAACCGCUUGAAACAACGUUUACCAAGCCGUACAUGAUCUCUUCACUUGGUUGGGCAUCUCUGGCAAAAAAAAGUAGAUCAUGCAAACAAGAUGCGACCAGACAAAGAGAUGACUCUGGCAGAGCAGUUCAAAGCAUGCUAGAGAAACAAACAUAAUGUGAUAGGAGAACUCGCAAAAAGUGUUAUUGCAAAUAUGAAAUUGGAGAUGGCAAAACCCGGGAAAGACGGUAUGGAAAAAACUCUAGAAGAAUGUAUGGAGACAUUUACCAUGAUACUUAAAAAUAAAGAUAUCACCAAAAACACUUUCCUGCGAAAUGUUGGGUUUUUGCAGUCCAAGUCCAAGUCCAAGUCUUUCUCUGCACAAGUUCUGUAGGAACAACUCCAAAUAGAACGAGCUGCAGCAGAUGUGUUAAGAAACCAAAUUGACAUGUUGAGAUCGAGAUCUGAAGCAUGUGAUGCCCUACUGCAGGAGGCCAAUCAAGUUCGUUAUAAUCUCUCAAAGACUAAUAAAAUGCCAUAGAUAAUUGGAGAUGAACACUGACAUUGACAUGUGAGUACCUUGGUAUUGUGAAAUGUUUCCUGAGACCGAGGCACUCUUCCUAUUUUGUUGGUGGAUGCAUUUAUCUGCGGCUGGGAUCAACUUGGUAGUUGUUCCUAUGGAUGUUUUAUAAAUUGGUUGCCUAGCCUUUUCAAUCAGUUCGAACUUAAAUGGUAUUAGAGCCAAGGUCUCGAGUUUGAAUUGUUGACGGUGUGGUUCAAUUCAUCCUUAAAUUGUUGGUGCCCCAUUGGCCCUUGUAAAUCUUCAUGUGCCUACCUCCGAAUCCAGUGUUGAAUUUCUCUUGUCACACACGAGGAUGGCUGUUAAUGUGUGUAUAAGUGGGUUGCAUAGCCCCUUUUAUAUAAGGUUGCAAGUUUCCUUAUUGUGUUGUGCCUUUGGGACUCAGCCUGCACUUCUGACUUCUGGUUGCGUUGGCUACUGCAUAAGUUUAAUAUAGUUCCAUGUGGUUUUUGUUGAGAUCUAUAAGAGAAAGUCCAAGAGGCACCCUAUAGCCUCCCCAAUCCUAAAUAUAGGGGAGAAAUAGGAGAAAACACCCUCCAAUAGCCCCCCUACACAUGCCCCCAAUAAAUCUGCAUCCCCAACCCACCCCUCCUUCUUCCCUAUACAUUGGGGUGGUGGAAGCCUCCCCUAUACAAGUAAUAAU